UGUGACGGCGUGCCUUUUGCAUAAUGAACCUACGAGUUACUUUUUCCGGCAAGGUUAAGCAUCUUGAGAUGUGGAUCCGAAGCGAAAGCGAGUCUGAACAGGGCGGAUAGUCGGAAGGAGUAGACGCGAAACCAAGUGAUCUACCCUUGGGCAGGUUGAAGGUUAGGUAACACUAACUGGAGGACCGAACCGAUAAGCGUUGAAAAGCUUCCGGAUGACCUGAGGGUGGGGGUGAAAGGCUAAUCAAACUUGGAGAUAGCUCGUACUCCCCGAAAUGCAUUUAGGUGCAGCCUUGAGAGUUACUAAUGUGAGGUAGAGCGACUGAUAAGAUGCGAGGGCUUCACCGCCUAUCAAGUCUUGAUAAACUCCGAAUGCGCAUUAGUUCUAUCUCAGGAGUGAGGGCAUGGGUGCUAAGGUCCAUGUCCUAAAGGAGAAGAAUCCAGACCAUCAGCUAAGGUCCCCAAAUAAACACUAAGUUGAACUAACGAAGUCAGAUUGCUAAGACAGCUAGGAUGUUGGCUUGGAAGCAGCCAUUCAUUUAAAGAGUGCGUAACAGCUCACUAGUCGAGGAGUUUGGCGUGGAUAAUAAUCGGGCAUUAAGUGUUUUACCGAAGCUAUGGGAUACGUAAGUAUCGGUAGGGGAGCAUUCCACUCUGCGUUGAAGGCGAAGCGUGAGCUUUACUGGAGCGUGUGGAAAAGCAAAUGUAGGUAUAAGUAACGAUAAAGGGGGUGAGAA
rnacentral:rRNA from 1 species